AAGUCGUAACAAGGUUUCCGUAGGUGAACCUGCGGAAGGAUCAUUAAUGAAUUUAAGGAUGCUCUUUUUAGAGGUCCGAACAAUCAUUACCUUUCUACACUGUGCACACACUACUUUUUUUACACCCAUUUUUUUAACACCAUUAGUAUUAAGAAUGUAUAUCAGUCUCUUAAUUGAGCAUAAAACAAAUAAAA
rnacentral:misc_RNA from 1 species